rnacentral:rRNA from 1 species
AUUGAACGCUGGCGGCAUGCCUUACACAUGCAAGUCGAACGGCAGCACGGGUGCUUGCACCUGAUGGCGAGUGGCGAACGGGUGAGUAAUACAUCGGAACGUACCUUAUCGUGGGGGAUAACGCAGCGAAAGCUGUGCUAAUACCGCAUACGCCCUGAGGGGGAAAGCGGGGGAUCGCAAGACCUCGCGCGACUAGAGCGGCCGAUGCCUGAUUAGCUUGUUGGUGGGGUAAAAGCCCACCAAGGGGACGAUCAGUAGCUGGUCUGAGAGGACGAUCAGCCACACUGGGACUGAGACACGGCCCAGACUCCUACGGGAGGCAGCAGUGGGGAAUUUUGGACAAUGGGGGCAACCCUGAUCCAGCAAUGCCGCGUGAGUGAAGAAGGCCUUCGGGUUGUAAAGCUCUUUUGUCAGGGAAGAAACACCGGCUCUAACACAGUCCGGGAAUGACGGUACCUGAAGAAUAAGCACCGGCUAACUACGUGCCAGCCGCCGCGGUAA